rnacentral:rRNA from 1 species
UCGAGAAUCUUCCGCAAUGGGCGCAAGCCUGACGGAGCGACGCCGCGUGCGGGAUGAAGGCCCUUGGGUUGUAAACCGCUGUCAGGGGGGAGGAAAGCUUCGGCUUGACCGAGCCCCAGAGGAAGCACGGGCUAAGUACGUGCCAGCAGCCGCGGUAACACGUACUGUGCGAACGUUAUUCGGAAUCACUGGGCUUAAAGGGUGCGUAGGCGGGUGCGCAGGUCAGGUGUGAAAUCCCACGGCUCAACCGUGGAACUGCACUUGAAACCUUGCAUCUUGAGCGAACUAGGGGUAUGCGGAACUUCCAGUGGAGCGGUGAAAUGUGUUGAUAUUGGAAGGAACACCGGUGGCGAAAGCGGCAUACUGGGGUUUGUCUGACGCUGAGGCACGAAAGCUAGGGGAGCGAACAGGAUUAGAUACCCCCGUAGUCC